GGUGUACUCCCUCCGUUCGGAAUUACUUGUCUCGGAAAUGGAUGUAUCUAGAACUAAAAUACGUCUAGAUACAUCCAUUUCUUCGACAAGUAAUUCCGAACGAAGGGAGUACUUG
rnacentral:pre_miRNA from 1 species